rnacentral:lncRNA from 1 species
GAUGCAAGCAAUAUGAUGUACAUCAAGUCAGUGCUGCCUGGAGGCGCAUUAUGACCCGACACGGUGUCUUUGCAACCAGUGGGCAUGGUGUCCAUGCAUGGUCAUGGUCCCGGGAAGACUAUGGGCGCCUCCAGGCUUCCGAGGGCUCCGGCUCCUCCUGACAGUGGUACUGUGCCAUCAGAGGAGCCGGAGGCGGAGGAGCCACUCUCCGCCUCCACCGGCUGUGAGAGGGAGGAAGAGGAGAGAGAAAUUUAGCUCCAAUAAAUAGUGCAUAAACAGUAGAUGGACAAUGUUGAACAAUGCGGUGUCAGACGGAGCUGGAGCCAGGUGGAGCCGUGCCAAAGGCGCCCUAUAUCUCUGAGGAUCCAGCAGCUAUGCAAUGCAGCCUCCUUAAUCAUUGUGGUCUCAAAUGCCCUUUUGGCUUAGGUUAUUCCUUUUCAUGCACAUCCAAUUUUUUUAGUGUUAGACAUAGAGGUUAUCUGUACACCAGUAGUAAAGUUAUGUGCAUAACUUUUAUGUAUAUCAAUAAGUUAGGUGCUGAAAUAUUUUAUCAUAUAACUUUUUAUACAUAAAUUAUAUGGCAAAAUUUUAUAUCAUCCCCGAUUUAUUUUUUUUUACUUUUUACAUAAGUUAUGCAUACAAUUUUUUUAGUCAAUAAAGGAGACCAAGAGUAUAUUUUUUCGCAUAAGUUAUGCAUAUAAAUUAUUGAUCAUAUCUAAUCAAGGGAUAUAAAUUAUCGAUCAUUUGUAAUCAAGCUUUUAUCUUUGACACAUGAUUUUUCCCUUCACAACUUUUUGCACUAAUAAGUUUAUAACCAGGCAUAACUUAUUUAUGCAAAGAAGUUAUAUUUACGCAAUUCUUAAUUCAUUAUCCCCAAAGUUUUGCAUGUUAUAAGUCAUUCGAACAAUAUGUCAUUCACAUAAGUUAGGCAUAUGAUUUAUAUGCAUACCAGUCAUAAGUUUAUGCAUGGAUCUUUUAUGCGAAUCAAUAAGUCAGGCAUUCAAAUAUUAUUAUAUAUAACUUUUUGUACAUAAGUUAUAUAGAUAAAUCUUGUAUCAUGCCUGAUUUUUUUUUUUGCAUUUUGUAAGCUAAUAAGUUAGACCGAGACAUUAUUUAUAGAUAUUUUUCCGCAUAAGUUAUGCAUAUAAAUUAGUGGUCAUAUCUAAAUCCAAGGAUAUAACUUUAUAAACAACAAUUUUUCACAAGAUUUUUUUCAUCAUUUUUUGAUAAAGGAAGUUCUAAACUUAGUAGCAUUCGUCUGCUCUUUUAUUCAGGACGUCUACUGUAUUUUUUUUAUCUUCAAAGCAUGCAUAAUAUUUUACUUGACAAAAUAUUAUGUACGAUCUACUAACUUCAUGAUGUUUUCAUGUUGCAGCGCUAGCACAUUUUCUACUCCUUCUGGAAUUGCCUCUGUCAGUGGCUGGUGAGUAGUUACAUAAUUUGUAUUCCAGUUGGAUAGGCCAUGCUGCUCUAUGUUGUGCCCCUUAGUUUCUUUUGUCUCCAAGCUAUUGCGUAUAUUCAUAAUACAAAUGAGGUCGUAAAAUAUUUGUGUUGCUAGACCUAUUUAGUGCACAAUUGUUUAUGCUGGUCCUCCCUAUCCAUUGUGUUGUUUAGUAUUCAUAAUAGAUAACAAUGUUCAAGAGAAACUUUUUUGUAUGUACAACAUAGGUCAUGCAGAUAAGUUAGAUAUAUAAGUUAUUUGUUAUGCAUAUAAGUUAUAUAUGUUAGAAGUUAUAUAUUAGUUAUAAGCUAUGUAAGAAAUUAUAUAUUUGUUUAAGAUAUAACUUUUUUCCUUUACAAGUUUUGUAUGGUAUAAGUUGCACAUAGAUUAUUCAUAGACUUAUAACUUAUAUGUCUCAAGUUAAUACCAGUUAUAAAUUAUGCACAAAAGUUAUAUAAAUUGUGUUAGUAAUAUAUUAACAUUGUUUCAUUAAAAGUUUAUGUAAUUUUUGACCUUAAUUUUUUGUUUAUUUUUGCUAAAUAAUUGCACAUAACUUUCUGUGCAUAAGUUAUGUGGAUAAAUUUUAUGCCAUGUCAAUAAGUUAGGACGAGAGAAAACUAUUGUAUACACAUAUUUUUGCACAUAAGUUAUGCUCAUAAAUUUUGUAUAUGUCAACAAGUUAGGCAAAUAGAUCAUUUAUAUAUUUUCAUGAAUAAUCAACGUAUAUAAAUUAUUAGUCAUGUCAUUAAGUUUAUAUAAGAAUGUUUAUUUUCACAAUAUUUUUGACAUAUUUUUUUAUCAUGUCAGUAAGUUAGAGUUAAAGAUUAUUGUACAUAAUUUUUUUGCAUAAGAUAGGCAAAUAAAUUUUGGUCGUAUCAGCAAGUUAGGUUGAGAUAUUAUUUGCAUAUUUUUUGUGCAUAAGUUAUGUAGAUAAAUUAUGUUCAUGUCAAUAAGUUGAAUCGAGAGGUUUUUGUAUAUUUUUUUGCAUAAGGUAUGCAGAUAAAUUUUGGUUAUGUCAUUAAGUUAGGCAAGUGAUUCUUUAAUAUAUUUGUAUAUGUCAAACUUAAGAAUAUAACUUCACAUGACUAUUUUUUCAUAUAUUAUAUACAGCUACUGAUUCUAUUCUCGUUUUCUAAACUUUUGAUGGCAAAUUAGAAAUAGCAGGUCAUGCCGCAGGUUCCUAGGGUCGAGCAAGAAUUAAGAUCAGUAUUGUAUGAAAGAGAAAGAUGGGGCAAAGUUAUAUAUGACAACUUGUAUAUACAUUUUUUUUAGCUUUAAUGAUUUUCUGAGUUAUAUAUGCAAACAUAUCUUCACAUAUGGAAAAAUAUCAUUGGAAAUAAAUUUUAUCUUCAAAUUCCUCACCCAAUUUUACUCCCUCUCACCCAACGGUCAUGAAUGAUAUGAGCGCCAAAAGAGAAUACUACAAAUGCGAGCGAAAAAGAAAACGCGAAAAAGAAAACGCACACUCCGCGCAGAAAGAGAAUGACAGCAGGGAGCCAUGCGAGGGCAGACUACGGAAGCAUUAUGAAAAAAGGAAGCACAACAUAUCCAAAAUGGGCCUUGUUUAGUUCCCAAAUUGGGAGUGGCAAAGUUUGCAUUUUGCCAUAAAUACGCAACUGUAGCAUUUCGUUUGUAUUUGUAAAUUAUUGUCCAAAUAUUGACUAAUUAGCCUUAAAAGAUUCGUCUCGCAAAGUACAACAAAACUGUGCAAUUAGUUUUUGAUUUCGUCUACAUUUAGUACUCCAUGCAUAUACCGUAAGUUUGAUGUGAUGAGGAAUAUUCUUUUUUAUAGUGCCAAAUUUUGAAAAAAGAGACUAAACAAGACCACGGUAUAUGAUACCUGUGUCUGAAAGCGAUGGCUGGGAACCCAGCCAGCGCGCGCUGAUUAGACGCUCCCUGCGCAGGCGCCAGUUUUGCUGUUGUCACCAACACCGAGCAAGGAUAUGGCCGAGGAAACAUCUUGGAGUUGGACCAUGUGAUGCGCAGAUGCGGGAACCUACCGCUGCUAGUAUAAAAUUUGAGUAAGCAAGCAACUAGUAGUGUGCAAGAAAUAAUCGCUACUCCGAAAAAAAAUUGUUUUCCACUAGUGCUGGACGGGGCUGCUUGCCGGCAUGGGGAAUCCUGUGCCGGCGCGUGCCGGCACGCGCCGCCGUGGUGCCGAGCGCUGACAACCGCAACUAUUUUUGGGUGAUCCUCGCGAUCAGGGGUUCGCCGUCCGCCGUGGGUUGGCUUCAGGCACGCGGCGGGACCGAGGCGGGCACGUUGCCCACAGGCCACGGGAACACGCGAUGAUUGGGC